rnacentral:rRNA from 1 species
UACGAAGGGUGCAAGCGUUACUCGGAAUUACUGGGCGUAAAGCGUGCGUAGGCGGUUUGUUAAGUCUGAUGUGAAAUCCCCGGGCUCAACCUGGGACCUGCAUUGGAAACUGGCGAGCUGGAGUACGGUAGAGGGUGGUGGAAUUCCCGGUGUAGCAGUGAAAUGCGUAGAGAUCGGGAGGAACACUCGUGGCGAAGGCGGCCACCUGGACCAGUACUGACGCUGAGGCACGAAAGCGUGGGGAGCAAACAGG